GGAAUAUUGGUCAAUGGACGCAAGUCUGAACCAGCCAUGCCGCGUGCAGGAUGACGGUCCUAUGGAUUGUAAACUGCUUUUGUACAGGAAGAAACCCUACUUCGUGAAGUAGAUUGACGGUACUGUAAGAAUAAGGAUCGGCUAACUCCGUGCCAGCAGCCGCGGUAAUACGGAGGAUCCAAGCGUUAUCCGGAAUCAUUGGGUUUAAAGGGUCCGUAGGCGGUCUAGCAAGUCAGUGGUGAAAUCUCCCCGCUCAACGGGGAAACGGCCAUUGAUACUACUAGACUUGAAUUAUUAGGAAGUAACUAGAAUAUGUAGUGUAGCGGUGAAAUGCUUAGAUAUUACAUGGAAUACCAAUUGCGAAGGCAGGUUACUACUAAUGGAUUGACGCUGAUGGACGAAAGCGUGGGGAGCGAACAGGAUUAGAUACCCCUG
rnacentral:rRNA from 1 species